AUUGAACGCUGGCGGCAUGCUUUACACAUGCAAGUCGAACGGCAGCACGGGGGCAACCCUGGUGGCGAGUGGCGAACGGGUGAGUAAUGCAUCGGAACAUACCCAGUCGUGGGGGAUAACGUAGCGAAAGUUGCGCUAAUACCGCAUACGUCCUGAGGGAGAAAGCGGGGGAUCGCAAGACCUCGCGCGAUUGGAGUGGCCGAUGUCAGAUUAGCUAGUUGGUGGGGUAAAGGCCCACCAAGGCGACGAUCUGUAGCGGGUCUGAGAGGAUGAUCCGCCACACUGGGACUGAGACACGGCCCAGACUCCUACGGGAGGCAGCAGUGGGGAAUUUUGGACAAUGGGGGCAACCCUGAUCCAGCCAUGCCGCGUGCGGGAAGAAGGCCUCGGUUGUAACG
rnacentral:rRNA from 1 species